AUUGUUAGUUAGUUUCGAUUACAUCAUGUAGUUUAUUUGACCAUUGGAUGAACUACUUGCUUUCACUUUAUGGAAAAGAACAUAGUUAUUAUGUAAACACAUGUUAUUUGGAAUGGAGAGCAUAUUUCAAGAGGACACACACCGUCAGUACGCAGCCCGCCACCUUCUUUCAAAGGCCUGUUGGAUCAGAGAGAGAAGAGGUGGAUCCAGUCCACUGUCCCCCCCCACCCGGGCGCCGAAGACGUGGAUGUCGAUUAAGGCAGAACCCCGCAUCUCUCUGAUUCAGAGGGUUAAAUGCGGAAGACAUUUCAGUUGAAGACAUUCAGUUGUACAACUGACUAGGUAUCCCCCUUUCCCCUUUCCACAUGUUACUGUGAGCAGCAAGUACUACUCUCUCUCUUUUAAUUCAAUUGUCCCUCUCGCUCUCUCCUCUCCUCUCUCAUCUCCUCUCUCUCUCUCUCUCUCCUCUCUCUCUCUCUCUCUCUCACUCUCUCUCUCUCCCUCUGUCUCUCUCUCCCUCCUUCUUUCUCCCCCUAUCUCUAUCUCUCUGCCUCUCUCUCAACCCGAACUACUACACCACACAUUCCGUUGACACAUGCUACUACACUCACACACACACAUGUGCAUGCCAAACAUACGCACACAAACGUACGCACACACACAGAGGACACCCUGUGGGCUCUGAACAUACACAUCUCACUGACACACACACUUUGAGCUUCCUCUGCUCUUAACUACUUGGAAAUCAUUAAGGUUGAUUUUGUUUACAACUGAUAUAGAAAUAGAUGCUUAGAGAGACACAAUCAUUAGGCAUUGAUGAAAGGUUUUGUGUUCUCAACUGACUUGCCUGGUAAAAAUGAACAUUAAAUAAAUACCAUUUUUGGGGAUGAGAAUAUGUAAAUGAAAUGUCUUUAAUUGAAAGUUCAUUUAAUUUAAUUUCUCAAACCAUGUUCCAGAUAUUUCCCAUGACUAUGACGUUUCUCAUUCCAUUCUGUGUGAUCCACAGCUAAUGCCAUUCAACCUUUCAAAAUGUCUAAUGCCUUUGCCCUCUUGUGUCAACCAUCUACUUAGUAAAGCAAGUGCUCCUGCGCCACUUCUAUUCUCUUUCUCUCCCCCACUCCUCCCCUCCUUCUGAGGCAGAGUAAGGACACU
rnacentral:lncRNA from 1 species